rnacentral:rRNA from 1 species
GGCAGAUGGAAUUAGUGGUGUAGGGGUAAAAAUCCGUAGAGAUCACUAGGAAUACCGAAAGCGAAGGCGAUCUGCUGGUACAUUACUGACGCUAAGAUACGAAAGCGUGGGGAGCAAACAGGAUUAGAUACCCUGGUAGUCCACGCCCUAAACGAUGAAUGCUAGUCGUCGGAACGCUUGUCGUUUCGGUGAUGCAGUUAACACAUUAAGCAUUCCGCCUGGGGAGUACGGUCGCAAGAUUAAAACUCAAAGGAAUAGACGGGGACCCGCACAAGUGGUGGAGCAUGUGGUUUAAUUCGAAGAUACGCGAAGAACCUUACCUAGGCUUGACAUAGUGAGAAUCCACCAGAGAUGGAGGAGUGCCUGCUUGCAGGAAUUCAUAUACAGGUGCUGCACGGCUGUCGUCAGCUCGUGUCGUGAGAUGUUGGGUUAAGUCCCGCAACGAGCGCGGCCCUCGUCGUUAGUUGCUAACAGUUCGGCUGAGCACUCUAGCGAGACUGCCUUCGCAAGGAGGAGGAAGGUGAGGACGACGUCAAGUCAUCAUGGCCCUUAUGCCUAGGGCGACACACGUGCUACAAUGGGGCGUACAGAGAGCUGCAAUACCGCGAGGUGGAGCCAAUCUCUAAAGCGUCUCUCAGUUCGGAUUGUAGUCUGCAACUCGACUACAUGAAGCUGGAAUCACUAGUAAUCGCGGAUCAGCCAUGCCGCGGUGAAUACGUUCCCGGGUCUUGUACUCACCGCCCGUCACACCAUGGGAGUUGAUUUC